rnacentral:rRNA from 1 species
ACGCUCGACAUACGGGAGCAGCAGUUGGGAAUAUUGGACAAUGGAGGAAACUCUGAUCCAGUGACGCCGCGUGAAGGAAGAAGGUCUUCGGAUUGUAAACUUAUUUGUCAGGGAAGAAAAAUGACUGUACCUGAAGAAAAAGACACCGGCUAACUACGUGCCAGCAGCCGAGGUAAUCUGAGCGGGCUGGCAAGGC